GCCCACGUAGCUCAACGGAUAGAGUACUUGUCUUCGGAACAAGGGGUUGGGGGUUCGAGUCCCUCCGUGGGUA
rnacentral:tRNA from 1 species